UCUUGCAGACCAGGCUGGACUUGAACUCAUAGAGAUCAACCUGCCUCUGCCUCCUGAGUACUGGAAUUAAAGUCAUGUGCCACCCCUGCCCAGCUCCCAGCAAGAUACUUUAUGAGUGGAGCCAAUUGUAGCUCUUCAGAUACUCUGAUCACCAGAAUGAGCAGGGGUGGGCAGCGCUGGUGUUGUCUUCACAGCCAAGCCUGGGUUGAACUGAUGGUGUCAUGCACCACGUUGCUAGCGCACAUUUCUUUUGCCGGCUGGGUUGAGUGUGGUGUGGGUUGUGACAUGCUCUGGUGUUACAACAUACAGAGUGGAGUGGAGUGGUAGAUUGAAACUGCCCCUUCCCCUUCCCCCACCGGGUGAUACUGGAAAGUUGCCCACACAACCCCGUGACCAUUGACUUUCUCACAGCAAAACAAGCUCUCAAGGCUGACUUGUCAAUCUGUCAACAGAAAUUUGCUAUGGGUUCGUGGAGCCAUGGAAAUGCUGAAAGUAUUUCUUCAGAGAAACAGUGUUAGACUCAGCUUCUUUCUUAAGAUGACUGGGUCUCUGCUGACAGUACCCGCAUGAACAUGGAGCUGGAGGACUACUUGUGACGCCCAGAAGUUUCCACAGAUUCCCUUGGUGCCUCCUGCUCCUCAUCGCCACACCAAGAAGACUCCCCAGGCCGUCAGAGGUGUCUGUGAGCUACGUUCUCUGUCCUGUCUCUCCCUGUUGAAAUGUCUGUCCGUCCGUCCUUCCUCACAGCCAUCUGGUUUCCCAACUGGACCCUCAGUCCCAGAUACUGCUGGCCUCCUUAUUGGGUUUGCAGAGCCAUGACACCUUCUCAGAAGACCCCUGACAGCUCCCAGUGCUGCAGUUCCCUCUGGGUAGGUUUAUCCUGGAGCCAAACAGUCAACCUGCUCUGCUGCAUGCACACCCUUCCCUUUACCACCUUGCCAACCGUGGAUUCUACGCUAGCGUGAAAGAGAAAGAGAAUUCAAUAAGUGAGAAGAGAGAUAAUACACCACAAGAACUUUUAUGGGGCAUACAAGUGCCUCCUAGGAGCCAAGGAGGGUUUGGCUGUUAGUCUUCCACUGUCUAAUGCUGACAACAAAAGAGCCAACCUGAAUCCAGAUACUGAAAGCUAAGUUCCCAUGGCUAUACUGACUGAUCUCCAAGGGACCUUAGCAGCUGCUAUCAUGCCUGGAUAAGCCCUGGUGCCGGGACACUUACAAGAACAGAGACACUUUCACCUCCUGCUGACUCUCCGAAGAUUGUGACAGAGCCUGGGUCUCCUCCAAAGCUGGCAAUGUUGUCCUGAACCCAGUGCAGUGCAGCCACCUGGUCCAAGUGACCUCAGUUCCCCAGGCUGUGUUUAUCGCCUGUGCUGCAAGGAAACAGGGUGAAGGUAGAUACAUCCUGGCUGAACUCUCAGAGCGAGGAAGAGGCUAGGGCUCUUAGUGAAACAAACUGAGUCCUGAAUUCCUGACACAUGUCUUCACCACCUCACAUCUCUCCAGAAAUGCUCUGUCUGGGACUCUACGCUCAUCUUCCAGAAACUGUGUAGCCCAAGAGUUCGAGAGGAAACACGACAGACAAACCCUUCCGCUCCUGAGUGUACUCAGUUCACACUGCAGAGCACAGGAAACAGGAGUGAAGAAAUUUUAGUAUCAAGUGAUGAAAGGGAUUUGAAGACUAAACCAGCUUACAAAAGGUACAGGGAUGGGGACCGUGGGUGAUAUUUCCUAGAACCGAGAGAGGCCUCUUGGAAGAAGGGGGCGUGAAUAGAGACCUAAACAAAAUGAGCUUGCAUGCUUAUGAAUAUCAUAAAAUAUUAUUCCUGUUAAAAGAAGCAGCAGGUGUAAAGACCUCUGGGAACAGGAGUGUGAGGGUAGCCAGUAGCAGACACAGGCAGAGCAGGUGCUGUGAGCCUUGGUAAGUUCUUUAUUGUUAAAAGUGAGAGCUGUCUGCAGAAACAAGAUAUGCUUCAGCCUGUGUCUCUCACAGCGCUCUGGCCACUCUGUAGAAAAUACAUGUCUUACAAGUAACAGGUUUACUAAAAGCAAAGCAGAACAGUGGUUAUAACAAUAAUCCAGUCCAAACUGUAAGACUCUGGUUAGAGUGGAGCAGGGAGCAGAUGAGAAGAGGACACAGAGUUUGUUUGGAAGGUGGAGUCAAAAGGACUGGUUGGUUGAUUAGAUGUUGAGUGUUAAAAAAAUAGGAGUCCCAAAUGUUCCCACGGCUUUUAUGUUGAGCAAACAGGAGGUGGAAUGGCCAGCAGCUGCUCAGCAGUUGCAGGGAAAGGGGGGAGGUUUUGUUCUGUUCUCUCUGCCUGGAAUAGCAGAAGCUUGGCAUGACUCAGUCUACUUCUGAGAGCACGGUGACCACUCACCAAAACAUGCUUCAAAACUGGCUGUUAGCUAAGUUUGGGACAGCAGAGAAAACAACGGACAAGUCUGCUCAGAAGCAAGUGUAGUGAGUGAAGAAUUAAUUGACAGGUGAGGUCCAUUACUGAAGGACCAGAAUGUAUUGCGAAGGAGCCUGGCAGAGGCCUCUAAAAUGCAAGCCAUUACUGGAACUGGGUCCUGGCAUCUUUGACCUGGAAGAUGUUACAUUUUGGAUGUGCUCUUAUGAAAGAACUAUGGAGCAACAGACCCUGUAAAAUGUGAGGUCCUGUGAAAUGUCAUUAAGACGCUGGGUCCACUGCCCUUGGAGGUGUUGAGCUCUCUGGGCUAGGGUUAGUUCCCUAGUGAGCCAGUUAUAAAAACAGUGAGACUUCCCAACUCCUCCCUCCAGCUUUGUGUCCCAUCAUGCAAUCUCUUUUGCUUGUUGCAGUUUUUAUUUCUCUCCCUCUGCCAUGUUGAUCUCAAUAAGCACCCUCACCAGACCUCAAACAGAACAAAGAAACGUAUCCUGCACGUUAGCCUCUUAAAUCCUAAACUCAAUAAAUAUUUAUCUUAUAAC